rnacentral:lncRNA from 1 species
UUCAUGGGUCGUAUUCUCCCAAGAUCCAAAAUCGAAUCUUUCUUUGCCUGCGUCUCGGUGGGAGUUGCAGCAGUUGCAGGUAUAAGUCGACUCCGAUCUUUCUCGUUCUGGGCUUGUGCAAUUUCCCCAGUCGGGUGGAGUGAGUUUCCGGAUCUCUGCUUUUCUAGGAAGGUUUCUGUUUCGUGUGCUUGUGCCGGUACCUCCGGGUCUGAAUUGGAACUUGCACAUUGCUGUAUGUUCCGAAAAUCUAGACAAGAUUGCAAAUUUUACCUUGGAACAGAUGAAACUUGAGAUGUUAUAUCAAACCCGAAAUUAUGAAUCAACAUUCCUCGUUCUUUCUGCUUUAAAAAAAAAAAAAAUGGACCUCUUGAUUUGUUUUAAAGAAAAGAAAAACUGUAAAAGUAAAUCGGGCUUUUGAUAAUCUUAAAAUUCGCUUGAGAUAGCCACAACUGAUCUUUGGUUCUUAUGUAACAAUUCCUUUAGAUGCUACUGUUGCUGGAUGGCUCUUGAAGACUGAAAUUUUGUUUCUUUUCCAAAUGGUUUCGACUCGAUUGCACCUUUAUGUUUGGAAAUUGUGAUACUGAGCACGAUCCGAGUAGGUUGUGAUUGGCUCCUCUUCCCACGCCUUCUUCCCUCUCCCUCUUACAUACUUGGGAGGCAGAUGACACAAUUCUUGUCACCUUAAAUCCUUCUUGGAAAAUCGACAUGCUCUGAGCUGUUUACUAUCACAGAUUCAUGCCUGCUCUAUGGUGAAUCUGCAGGCGCAUUGCCUUCUCUACGUUGCAUAAAGCAAACAUUGAAACGAAGGGGGAAAAGAUUGGAUGGGUGAUGUAUUAAUCCACCAUGAACACGAUUCAGACAUCUCUCAACACUUCAACACGAGACUUUUAUAGUUUCAGCUCUAGUGUAAUAAUUUGUACCCUGAUUGCAGCAUUCGUUUGAAGAAACGAGGGAAUCACUUCCCCAAGCACAGCCACUGGUUGGAAAAGGUUAGCAUGACAAUGACUCUGGUGACGAAAUAUUUCAUCACAUAGGAACACUUUUUUAGACACCCAAACCAUCGGAACACUUUUUUAGACACCCAAACCAUCGGAAGUUUGAAUUGAAGCUGAUUGGUUUGAAUGUGGCUUCUUUAUAGUUUGCACUCUUUCCGUGGAUGCUAUCCUAUUUCAGAUGUCAAGUUUAAUGGAGCAUGCUGGUUUUAAUUAUCUGAAUGCUAUGGAGUAACUAGUGGCUUUAGGAUAUAAAAGCAAUUUGUU